GGACCUUAAGCAUGUACGACGGCAACGCGACGACGACAGCCAAAACAAAUCAAUUAUUGCGAAGGUGUUGUGCAUAUUAUCCACAACAUCUACAGUGUAUAUGGAUUGAGUUCAGUUUGAAGAGAUUAAAACAAAGGUUUUAUGGUUAAAAACGCUUCUGCUGAGCAAAUUUGUAGUUUCACUUGUCGCGUCUUGACAUGUUUGCGUUGUACACGAGACGUGAAAAUCUCUGGUUUGCCGUUGUAAAAAGCCCUAACACAAC